rnacentral:lncRNA from 1 species
AUCUUGGCCAGUCUGGUCUCGAUGUCCUGAUCUCAGGUGAUAUGGCCAGCUCAGGCUCCCAAUGGGUGGGGGAUUAAAAACAUUAGCCACCAAAGUGGGGCUGCUUAUUUAUUGAUUUAUUUAGAGACAGACUUGCAUUUAUUUAUUUACUUAUUUAUUUGCUGAUGUACUUUUGGAGAAGCAGGUCGAAUUCACUUUAUUUAUUUGGAGGCAGACUUCUAUUUAUGUAUUUAUCUAGCUAUCUAAUUAUUUAGAGGCAGGCUCACAUUUACUCAUUUGUUUUAUUGAGACCCAGGCUCAUGACAUUUUUUUAAUACUUAUGUAUAUGUGUGCAGGCUUGCAUUUAUCAGUUUUCUUAACUGUCUGUAUAAUGAUUUAGAGGCAGUCUUGCAUUUAUUUAUUUAUUUAUUUGCUUAUUUAUUUUAGAGGGAGUCUUGCUCUGUCACCAGGCUGGAGUGCACUGGCCCAUUUUUGGCUUCCUGCAACCUCCGCUUCCUGGAUUCAAGCAAUUCUUCCUCCUAUGCCUCUGGAGGAUCUGGGACCACAGUCCCCUUGUAGGUCACCCAUGGGGAAUUGCCUAGGCCCCAGGGCUGGCCUCAUUUGUGCCUGGUGCCAGGAGGCAGUGGCGUCAUGUUGUGAGACUCAGUCUGUGGCAGCUGCAAACACCAGCAUCCACUACUGCAGAGCCUGCCAUGUUACAUCCAGGAGUGGUGGAGGUCCAGGACGUGCAGACCAUCAAGUCAAAGCAGCACAAAGGUUUGGCUGGUCGUGUCAGGAGCUGGGUACAAAAAAAACGGAGGCGUAAGAAAAUUUGCCCCAAUGAAAAUGAAGCUCCUGGUCAAGAUGCAAAGGAGUGUACAACUGAAAAGCUUCAGGAGGAGACGUCACCUGACAUAGAAAAUGCUACAGGUGAAUAUCACCACACUCCUGCUGAUGACUCAGAAGAGUGUACACUUGGCAAUGAGGAGGAGGUGGUGGCCUCUGACACGGAGAAGCCUGCGGCCCAGCAUGACCGCCGUCCUGUUGAGGUCCUACAGGGCCUCAUUUUAGAAGGCAUUGAAGAAGAUGAGAUGCCCCACGACCUGGAGAAGCCUGCGGCCCAGCAUGACCGCCGUUUUGUUGAGGUCAUACAGGACCUUAUCUUAGAAGACGUUGAAGAUGUUGAGAUGCCCCUUGAUGUGGACACAGUGACGGCCUCAGUUGUCUGCCGUCGGUGGAUCUGGGACGUGCUGUGA